rnacentral:lncRNA from 1 species
AUCCAUCUUGGAAGCAUCAGUGGUUGACAUGUCAACUUCACGUGCACUACUGACCGUGCUGGAUGCGCACCUUUGGGAUGGAGAGGUGCCUGCUGUCUGCCCAGACCCCUGCUUUACAGCCGAAGAAGCUGACAGAGGAGUCAGGCGAUUUAAGGCAUGUGGGCCGCUCUGCGAAGCACACCGCGUCCCCCGAUGCCCAUCCGCAUUCAGCCCGGCCUCUUCCACUCCUGGCAUGAAGGUCAGCACCAAGGGAGAGGCAAGAGGUGCCUGAUGGCUGAUGAGGGAGUGAGUUAGAAAAAGCUAACCUUGGCGGGAGCAGUGCUAUGUCAUCGGCUGUAGGCUGUUACUUAGGGCUCACCUGCCCCGUGCCCACCUUUAAGAGAAAACAGCUUUUCUGAUGUCAGAUGCUUCCAGCCGGUUCCGCCUCCACCCCCUUCCCGGGGCGAAGCCGGCGGCGGCCAGCUGCCUGGCUGAGGGACCGGCUGCCUUGGUUUCACGGCCUCACGUUCAACGGUCUCGUGCUCUGGUGAGAACUUUCCUCAGGAAGCCGCACGCGGGACCCUGAAGACGAGCACGUCUUCCUGGAGCCUCUCAGUCCUGGGCUGUACGCUCUCGCCCCGCUGAGGUUUGGCCUCCCUCUCCUGCCUCUGAAACCACAAAGCAGUUAGAGAUGCUAAUCUCUCGACACAGAGUCACUCUGGCACCACAGGCAGAGGUCGCCUGGGGUCACCAUCGCCCGUCUGUGGUGGAAAGUUCCAAGCGGUGCAGUGGCUUCUGUGAUCUGCCAGUUGCCUCAGAGAGAGCCCUGGACCCCACAGGAAGGUGGUUUUCCGAGGCAGGGUAAAAAUAUAUUUGCGUUUGUUUACAGACGAGGGAUUAUUUUUAGCCGGAGGGUGAGGCAGGAUGAGGAACGAGGGGCCCCACGGUGGUGGGGCUUCGCCAGCGGGACCUGCACCUGCCCACCGCCAGGAGUUUGGGGGUUUCUGCUUCUGGGUUGUUGCUGCACUUCCCUGCCCCUCCCGCCCACCUCCCAGGGCCUCAGGGAGAGGCAGCACCCAUCCCAGAGCUGCCUCUGCAUCCGACUGCUCUGUUUCCCUCCAGGCCAGCCAGCCACACUCGACAGGCCAGCAGCUGAGCUUCAGGCUGCAGGGAGCUCUGUCUGGCUGCUGAGGGACGAGGGCCACGCCUUUGAAGUCCCUGCUGCCGUGCCCUGCUCUGCUACUAACCAUCGUCAGCUCAGGGCACAUCUUCGGGUCAUAGGUGACAGCCCUUAA